AGUAAUGCAAAAAUUAAUGGGAAAUUUCUUGCUAGAACUGAUUUCCAAUCUGAGUAUAUAUCUACGAAGAAAUGGUGUUGUGAAGAUUAACCUGCAGUAUGUUAAGGCAAGCACAGGAGAUGAACAACAUGCCUGAAUUGUAUGUAGAGAAAGGUCAAACCUUGAUAACACCUAUAAAGAAUUUCUUAACAAAAAUAUUCAUUAACAAAAUGAAUGUGGUCUUUGUUAACCUUUGUUCUUGGUUUUGAUUCAAUAUGGCUAUAAAAGUAAUUUUUAAAAGUAACCCCCAUCUCUGUACAGUCAACAGCAGGAGCAUCAUUAUUGGCAAAUGCCUCACCUCUGACUCUCAUGACAUCACCACUGUCUGUAACCAAUCAGAAUGUGACGUCUGCACCAUUGACUCCUUUUGGGAUGCUGGGUGGCCUUGUUCCUGUGACCGUUCCCUUCCAGUUUCCCUUGGAGCUACUUGGCUUUGGGGCAGACACAGCUGGAGUGACAACCACCUCAGGAUCUACCUCAGCGGCUUUCCACCACAGCCUAACUCAGAAUUUACUGAAGGGUUUACAGCCAGGUGCUCAGCAUGCAGCGACGCUGUCUCAUUCACCUCUGCCUGCUCACUUGCAGCAAACUUAUACAGAUGGAGGCCAAAGCAAAGGGGACACUAAAUUACAGCGGAAAACCCAGUGACUUCUGGAUGAACAAGGGAGCUGAAGUAGUUCUGAUUGGCUGAUGGAAUCUGCCCAGUUGGGAAAGUGCUUACAUGGUCACAGGGCUGCUGUAUUUGUCAAUGUUUACAUACUCUGAUCCCAAGCACUGUGGUGAGAAGAAGAAGAAGAAGAAAAAGAAAACAGUACUUGAUCAAAAAGAGAAGGAAAAGGAGGAUGGUCCUUCCUGGUCAUGCAGACUGGUCAUAGUUGGAUUUUUGCCGUAAAGAAACCAAUCUUUUUUUAUUCACUCUGAUUGGCUUUAAAAAAAUUGUAGUUGUCAAACCCACAGCGGCACAAAGUUUACUUUCUGGGUAAUGUCCAGUGAUGAGGAGGAAGCACAAGGGAAGCUGGAGUAGAUUUCUCCAUCCAGUUUGGGGGCUGGGAUCAUCCACUCAGCAAGAGCAGGAUGCUAGUAAGAGUAUGUAUCAGUCCUGAGCAUACUAUAUGGUUGCAGACCAGAGGUGGUUUCUGCUUGGAUGGUCUGUGGAGUAAAUAAGAAACUUUCUUAUGGAUACAAACAAAGCUUCUGAUUUGAACGUUUGUCCAGCAUGACCUCUUUGGAAGAGCAUAGCAAAUACAGGCUCUGAGUUUUGUGGGGCCUCUAAUGCAGUUUCAUUAAUCCCCAGACAGCUCCCUUUCAAAAUGAUGUUCAUGGUAGAGAGGCAAGAGAAAAAUUAAGGGGGAUCCUAGUAAUCCCUGGGAUAUUUUAGCAUAGAAUAAUUGAUAUUUAAAGUGUAUGUCGGGGUGGAAUAUAUCUUUUUACAGAAAAGGAAGAAAAAUGUUGUUGGUUUAGCUUGAGAGCUCUUCUCAGACCUUUUUUUUUUUUUUGGAAGAUGGACACUCUGGUUUUCCACCCUUAUAAAGUUGCUUCACUUCUUCAGUUGGUUCCUUGAGCUUCUCUGCUAUUAAAGUGAAGAAACACCCUAUUCUCAUCCUUUAUAAACCCAAGGUCAAUUCCUCGUCUUCUGGAUUUACUUCCUCUUUCAUACAAGUAUUCCCAAAAGCCACACACCACAGUAACCCUUCAGCUAAGGAUAGCUGGAUGUGACUUAUUUCAGAGACAAGUUAAUACUGCUUCAGGCAUUAGCCAAAGAGGAGUCGUUCAAAAGCGACCUCGGGUGCCUUCUCUUCCUGGGGCUGAAUGCAUUGUCUCUCCAGCAUUCCUAGCCCCUGCUGGCCUGGGGAGCUCAUGGCCUGAACUCUUUCCUGCUUGGUAACUCAGGAUUGCAAGGCUGGCUUUCCUUUUUGGAUAGCAAUAUCUUGGGUGGUUCAUUUGUACAUUUAGGAAAUAUUCAGCACAAAUUGCACUUUCAGCAGUAGGACAGAGGAGGUUCUUAGGUCAAAACUUUACUGUUGUGUCUUUUUUCUGUGAAAGGUAAGAUAAGCAUGGCAGGAAUUGGAGUAAAAAGGUUUUCAGGAUCACUGAAGCUAGAACAUCAGUCCCUGAUCUGAUGCCCUUUCUCUUUCAAACCUAAAAUGUCACUGUGACCAGAGAUACUGAAAUUUCUAGUCUGUUUUGCUCGUGCGCGCGCUCUCUCUCUCUCUCUCUCUCUCUCUCAUAGCUAUGAUCUGAGAUUGAACCUGUAAUUACUUAAUUGCCUCUCACCUGCCCAGUACAAACUUUGGUCCCUGGAUAUUAAAUCUCUUAAUACUUUUUGCUAUACUAACUUUUAGUUUUCAAUUCCCUUUGACAUGCGUGAAUUAUUUUUCUUACAAAGACCAGACAACAUUUUUUCUACUUAGAUCUCACUUUAAUUUUAUAUAUAAAUAUAUAAACAAGAACUUAAAGUAAUAUAUUGUGUAUAUAGUAUAAAACAAAUGUUGGGUUGAGCCCAAUGAUAAAUGUUUUUGCACAAAACUUCUGUGAAAAAUAGCCUGAAUCCUCCUAGUCAGAUGAAAAUUCUCCAGAGUAUAGAAUACCAUAAAUUAUUCAGAAGGUACUAUCCAAGUUGUGCUUUUGUUUUAUCUUUUUCCCCAGAAGGGGAUGAAGAAAGAGGACAUUUUGAAGCCAGAAAUUUUUGACAAAGUAUUAACUCUGAGUUGUGUCAAACAUAUCACAUAUUUUUUAAUAAUGCAUGUAGCGGGAAUUGCAGUGGACAACUGUCAGACAGCAAUAUGUGGAAACAACUACCCUACCCCAGAAGAGCUCUAUCCUCUUCUGUAUUUCCUUCAUCAUGGUGUCUCAUUUAAAUUGCCAUCCUUCACUUUUGCAUUCUGACAUGAGAUUCUAGAUCUGAUAAAAGGUACACAAUUGAAAGUCCUAGAGUUUGAAGGCUUUUAUCCUAACAGCACAGAUGGUGACAGCACAAAUUUCCUUUGCCCCACCUCAAGUGUGCCUCAUCCUUAAUCAGGAGGGUUAUCUCUAGAAUUUAGAAGGUAAUUUAGUUUCCAUGGGCCAUUCAGUUUUAGUCCUGUUGGCAGUCCUGACAAGGAAGAACACAGGUUAGCAUGAGUUAUAGACUUGGGCAGUAUGAUGGGAAACAAUAUGGAGAUUACAAACUUUCUUCCUAUAGUCUGUUGAAAGUACACCCAGAGGAUAACUAUUUUCAUUUACUACCAGCCUGGAUUACUUUGGAACUGGUAAAGUAUUCUCCACUUGCUUAACCCAGCAAGGCCAGGUCAAAAAAUAACUAUUGAGUGAUUCCCAGGAUCUUUGCAGAAAGAGGGGGAGCAUGAGCAGGGUGGAAAGUGAAGGAUAUUUGUGACAUCCUGAUGCAAAAAUAGGUAACACCCUUCCUGCAACAUCUUGUUUAAGCUAGUUUCCCCCCCCCCCCCAAGAGUCUUACUACUUUUUAAGGGCCUUUGAUAAUAUAUAUAAUGUAAACUGUUGUAUGCAUUAAAUAACCCUCAGUAUUCACAAGCAAUAAGAAAGCCAGUAGAGCUGUCUUUCUGGGCAGCAGGGCUGAACUUUGGUUUGGGGGCUGAAUGUGAGCUGAUGUCAAGCUCACUCAGCCUCAAACAGAUGCAAGCAAUAAUUUCAAACACAGGUUUUAGAAGUUAGCUCCCUUCCGGUAAUGCCUUCUGCCACAUGAUCCAAAGCCCCAAUAGACAUAGUAGCAAUUUUAAAUCCUCUGAGAGAUUUGUGAAGUAUAGAAAGGAGCCAGGCUAGAUGAAGCGCAGGCUGCAAGACUUCUGAUCAAUUUGGAUCAUUAUAGCAGUGUUCUCUCCCCCAGAAGGAUGUUGAUGGCCUAAAUCAUUAUUUCAUCCAGCAUUCUCUUUUAGUUCAAGAAGAUUAAUGAAUAUUGUUGAGUAACCAAGUCACAGGUGUGGAUGCUGUGGGUUUAACAUCUGUUUUCAGCUAAUCAGAAGUGACUUCUAAUUAUCAGAGUUCUGCUUCCUGUCUGAAUCCAGUCAAAGCUGUCAGAUUUUGGGUGGGGCAGGCACCUGGGCCUUGUUCCCCUCAACCACUCCAGCCACCUGACCCUUCCUCCACCUUCUUCUCCACUUGGUCCGACAUGAGGACAUGAAAGCAGAGAAAUCCUGCAACUCUCCCAAGCUGCCAUCAGUUGUGUGAACCAUAACCCUCUGGGGGUCAUCUUUUAGGACUCCAGCUAACUUUAUCACAUUUGCUGCUACAUUCAUAAAAUGAACUUUUGGCUGUAUUUAUUAGCAUUUUAAUCUAGUUUACAGUUCUUUUUUGGAAUAGAUUUUGCCCACGGGUGGAUUAGAAAUGGGGUGGUGCUUUCUGGGGGUUUUGGUGGUUUUUUUUUUUUUUUGUUUUGAGUGCAUUGUUAAAGGCACAGUGGUCCCUUUUUAUUAUUUUUGGUUGUGAACUUUUUUUGGGGAAUGGAAUUGCAGGAAAAAGUAAAACCUGCAGUCAAGCUAAGCUCUGGAAGGUUUCCACCCAGAUCUCCAGUUCCUGGCUUUGUACUUAAGUAGGGUCAGAAUAGGGACACUUGCUGUUUCUGUUAAAUGAGCCAGAAGGUAAAAGCAGUAGGUAAAUGACUGGCUAAUUAACACUUUAUGCAACUUUAAUUUUGUAGAAGCUUUUUGAAAGUUGGUAGAUUCUGAUUGGUCCUAGCUCUGGUGAAAUGGCUGUUACCCCUCCAGGAGUUACUUGAUUCAGGCCUUUGUCCUUUGUUUAAGUGCCUUUUCUUUAUUUUAUUACCCUCCCCCCCAACUCUCCCUCCUUUAAACUGUUCUCAGAGAUCCUAAAGUGCUGAGGAGGCAUUUGGGAGGAAAACAAAUCUUAAACUUGCCAAGAUGACUUUAUGCUGUUAAACUAUUUUCCCUUUUGUAUAAAGUGUGUAAUGUGUGUGUAAUGUUACAGCUGCUGUACCAUGGCAUUUAUUCUGUAUGCUCCCUGACACACACAACAGUAUUCUUAAGAAUCCUGUUUUUUCCACUCUGUUCUCUGCUGGCUUUACGACACAUUUUACUUAUGGAAAGUGAAAAUUUGUGCCUGAAUGACUGUAGUGUGUGUGUGUGUGUGUGUGUGUGUGUGUGAGAGAGAGAGAGAGAGAGAGAGAGAGAGAGAGAGAGAGAGAGAGAAGAGGUGGUUAGAAGGAAAGGGACUGGAUAUGUUUCCCUCUGGAGAUGUAAAUUUUGAAUCUUGUGUGGGUCAUGAGUUAAGUUUAUUUGAUGGUUCCAAUCUGCCUACCUGUAAAUAUUAAACCACCUCACACACUCACUAUUUGACACACUUUCCCACAAUUGAUGGCCCUUUUAAAUAGAAUAGACUUGGUUAAAAUAGGUUGCAAUAAUCCUGAAUUGAGCUGUAUUGCAGGAGAGAGACCUUUUAUGGUGUUACUCGCAUCUGCCCUGCUCUAGGCAUUGCUAGGAAUCUUGCUUGAAUUCACCAAUGUUGUUACUUCUUCCCAUACAAUAGUUAUAAAGAGGGGUUUCCCUUAUUAAAGUAAAACCUUGCUAUAACCCAUAAAUUGCCUACAUCAUGUGUCAAAAUGUUUUCUCUCCAACUUUCAGCAAAGAGCUGGAGUUAGAUCUCCAUUAAGAGCUUUUCUUUUUCAAAAGAAUGACGGUACACUAAGAGCAGCAUAAAAUAGUACCUUAACGGUGGUGAUCAAAUUUAAAUAUUUCUAUGCUUAUUUAGCUAUUAUGUAAUUGGCAAAACUUACAGAUAUGCAAGGGGGUGUGUAAGGAUUUACUGCAAGUUAGAAAAGUUCUACCAUACUCCAGAAAUAAUUAAACAAAUUUGUCUAGUUUCCAUAUUUAUAAAAACUUUUUUUCUAAGAAGUCUGAUUGAAAAGUUGUCUAACAUUGAAUACAAGCCCAAGAUGCCCAAUAUCAGCAUGAUUAAUAUAUAGUGAUUCUGUGAGGUGCUUUUACUGGGCAGUGCCUUCAUCUUGUUUUGGUUCCAGUGUGGAAAGACAUCUCUAGAAACCAGAUCAGGAAUUGAAUAGAGCUGGUCUCCCAAAUCCUAGAGCAAAGCAAUACAGCAGAUGGUCUCAUCAGAAGAAAUGCCAGUUUUCUUGUCAGAGGAAACUUAAGUUUAACUGAACUGAAAGUCUGUUUGGGUUUUUUGUAAGAUGUUUAAAUAAAAAUGUCUAUCUAAAUCGGUGAUCACUGCCAGCACAAAGCAGCCCUGUAGUUGGCUUACUCUGCCACUGAAAGAUCAGCCUGCUUUUGUGCCAUAAACCUUAAGUUUUUCCUUCUCCACACCUCUUUCUGCAAUUCCUCACUUCUGUAACAGUCUAUUAGAACCAAUGGUAGCUGAAGUAACAUAGAAAAGGUCCUGGAGUUGCUUCAAGUUGCACUGAAAAACCAGCCUGUCUUGCAGCUGCCCCAGAGUUCAGGGGAACACACAAACAUGCUCUACAGUAGUGUUAUACCCUCCAUACUAGUUCUGUGUUGGCCCUUGGCUGUAGCCAAGGAUCAAAAUCUGUAUUGUAGUGCCCAGCUAAUAAGUAUAAAGCUGUAGAGCAACUCGUUAGAAAAAGGGAUUUUUAAAGGUGUUCUAUGUUUCUAGAAUGGAAAUUCAAUCCCAUUUUCUCUCACCACCACCACAAGCCUGUUGAGCAGUAAGCUAAUCGUAAAUUUCUAAUCUUAGUGAAAGAGUCCAAAACAAAUAAUGUAUACUAUCUUUCAAAUAACUUCUGACAGCAUUCAGUACUGAGGGCUUUUGACUCUGCGAUAUGUGCAGGCAUAUUCCAAAAGCAACCUUGGAUGGGUAUUCCUAACUGCCCCGUGCCCAAAAAAAGGUGCAAGAGGGGAAGGACUGUUAACCAAACAAAACAAGUUGGAAGGUCCCACCAAGCUUAAAUCAAACUCAGCAGCUGGUGAGGCACCAAGCGCUUCUUUGGGACUGAUUAGUUUCCACCAAUUGGGGGAAAAGGAAAUUUUUCUCAGCUUUUUCCAGAUAAGGCCUUAGUUCAAUUAGUAGUCAUUUAAUAUCAACUAUGCAGAUAAGUAUUCUUUACAUGUUCCAGUGUUAUGUACACUCCUCUUCCUGCUGUCCCAUUAACAAAUGUUAAACGUCUACCCAAAGAAAUGUGGCAUAAUAUUUUUUGAGGUUUGUACUAAAAAGGUUAGGUUAUUUGUUUGGUUUUUUUCCAACAUGAAGAAUGAACUUUUGUAUUUUAAAAGGAGGGGAAAAAAGAAACCCUUUCACUGGUGCGAAGCCUAAUGUCAAAAUUAUCAUGAAAAGUGCUUUAGGGGGGGCAAAUAAAAUCUCCUAUUCAUUGAUGGCAGGCUUGAUCCUGAGAGCUUUUUAGAUAGGUGCACAAUAUUCAGCUCUGCAGAACUGGACCAAGAAGCUACAGCAGUGCACAUCUAACAUACCAAUUACAUUGGGGGUUGGGGGAAUAAAUGUCCUUGCAACUGAAACGGGUUCUAGAAAGUCCAGUGUCCAAUUUGAUGACUGCUUUUAACCAAGCAAUCUUGGCUAAUGGGUGGCUGGAUCUCCAUAAGUGGCAUCUUCCCUGAAUAAAAGCUGAACAGUGAUCCAUUUCUUUCUCAUCAGCUCCUGUGUUGUACUUGUUACAGCCGAACAGUUUGGCUCAGAGGCAACUGCUACAGCAAGCAUGUUUUAAAGUUAGUAUUUUCAGUUUGCUGUAGCAACCAGUGCAGUUAUGUUGCAUAUGUUCUCAAGAUUUUAUGCUGGGUUUAGAUGGGAGCUGUUUUUAAAAUACUUUGGGCUCUUGGUUUAAAAUAGCAAGCUACAUUACUCCUGUCCCCUUUCAAAAAAUCUCCUGAGAAAUGUUGUAUUUUAGCAGUUGAAUUAGUCCUGUUCUGUGAUCCUUCUACCAGUCUCUCUUUUUUCCUCCGAGGGUGAUGUUUAGAAUGCAUUUAAUGGAUUCACCCUUUGAAUGUUGGCAUUUUCUAGGCCACUAGUCAAGCAGAUUCCCACUUUAGGAGGGCAUCUGUGUAAUUUUAUAACUUGCAUAAAAAGAUAAAAAGCACUGUGCUAAAAAAACUCUUCCUUGUAAACAGACAUUUGAGCCCCUAUAUCACUGCCUAGUGAAGGGAUUUGCUCCAACAGCAGAGCUUCCAAUCUUAAAAGCUGGUUUUACAUCUAUUUGCAACGAGUCCUCCCAGUGAAAGGGUUUAAGCAGAAGUAUCCUUUGUAUUUGUUGUCACAAUAAAAUGCACAUUUUCCAAUUUUGGAUAGUUAACCAGCUUAAUUGUAGCUAGCUUGCUGGUCCUCUUGAGAAUGGAGAAAGCAAUAUAAAGUAAGGGACUUAAGGGGCCUUUUCAUGGUUGCUUCUUGCCUGUUGGUGUCAAGUUUUAAAUGAAAAAUUGGCAAAGUGCUUAUUUUGUCUCAAACUUAAAAAUUCCUAAACCAAACCCCUAGCAAUAUUCAGAUCCUGCAUAGUUCUCCUUACUGUCAAGAAAGGGAAUGUCCAAUUCCUAUGAGGUGGCAAAUGUGCUAAAAUCAGUUACUUUUUUUUCUAAUUUUUUAUUUUCAUUUUGCCCAGCAUGAAUUCAUAGGAGGUCACCUUGUUCCUUUGUUACCUGCAUAUUUAAGAACAUGGGGAAGAACCCUUGACUUAGUGACCCGGAGAAAAUCCAAACAGCCAUGUGCUCACUUGAUCUCUCCAGACUACUCCACUGUAAAGUUCCCCAGGUGACAAGCAUAUACAGCUACUCUCAAGGGGAGGGACCUGGAUAACCAAAUACAGCUACUUUUUGGUAACUAGCACAAAUUAUUUUGGCUUGGGUUUUUAGGGAGCUGUAUUCCACUAACUUGAAGGGAUACUGUAUUUUAAACAAGUGUGACUUUUUGGUUGGUUUUUCUCUCAUAAAACUGGACCUGAAUUACAAGUUUUGAGUUGAUUUUUUUCUUCUUCUUUAUUUUGUAAUAAUCUCAGGACCUGAAAGAUUGUAGCAUUUAGUGUGUCUUAAAAAUAAUGUACUGUACCAGCCAUGGAUUUUGUAAAUACACCCGUCUCCCUCUCUUGUAUUUUAGUUUUUGGGGGGGAGGGGGUUUUGGUUGGUUUGUUUUUUUUUUUUUAAAGCAUACGGCUCUUUGCCAGAGGAACUGGUACCUGGUUAACUUCCAUCGUGAACUAAAGUAAGAAAAUGAGGGAGCUGCUGCCACAAAAGCUUGCACCAUAUAUUGAACAUAUGCACCAUAUACUGUUGUGACACAUUUUUUAAUAGAGGCUAGCCAUUUUACUGGAAAGUCUGUCCCAUGUCCCUGUUGCCCCCUCCCCCCCUGCAUUCCCAGCGCUGGCUGUCGAAGUUCUAUCCACCAGGGAGACUCUUGAUGUCUUCACCUUUUUCCAAAUAUUCAGGUUGACUGUCCUGCACUUUGCACACCAAGUCUGGUUCUGGACAAGUCCGUGUAUCUGACAUUCUGCAAGAAUAGCUAAAAAGUUUAAUUACUCUUUAUCAGAAUUUCAUCGAUCGAGAAAAGAUAGAGCAGAGAUGUGCAGAAGUUCAUUCUCAUAGAUCUUUAUGUGGAUUUACUGUACUGACCUUGCAAGAUUUCAGGAAAGGUGUGUGUGUGUGUUUGUUUGUUUUUCAUUUUUCUUCCCUCCUUCCCCUUCCCCCCCCCCCCCA